UGCAGUCGAGCGGCAGCGACAACAUUGAUUCUUCGGAGGAUUUGUUGGGCGGCGAGCGGCGGACGGGUGAGUAAUGGCUGGGAACCUGCCCUGACGUGGGGGAUAACAGUUGGAAACGACUGCUAAUACCGCAUGAUGUCUUCGGACCAAAGAGGAGGACCUUCGGGCUUCUCGCGUCGGGAUGGCCCAGUUGGGAUUAGCUAGUUGGUGAGGUAAUGGCUCACCAAGGCGACGAUCCCUAGCUGGUUUGAGAGGAUGAUCAGCCACACUGGAACUGAGACACGGUCCAGACUCCUACGGGAGGCAGCAGUGGGGAAUAUUGCACAAUGGGCGCAAGCCUGAUGCAGCCAUGCCGCGUGUGUGAAGAAGGCCUUCGGGUUGUAAAGCACUUUCAGCAGUGAGGAAGGCGUAGUGGUUAAUACCCGCUGCGUUUGACGUUAGCUGCAGAAGAAGCACCGGCUAACUCCGUGCCAGCAGCCGCGGUAAUACGGAGGGUGCGAGCGUUAAUCGGAAUUACUGGGCGUAAAGCGCAUGCAGGCGGUUUGUUAAGCAAGAUGUGAAAGCCCCGGGCUCAACCUGGGAACCGCAUUUUGAACUGGCAGGCUAGAGUCUUGUAGAGGGGGGUAGAAUUUCAGGUGUAGCGGUGAAAUGCGUAGAGA
rnacentral:rRNA from 1 species